AGCGAACGCUGGCGGCGUGCCUAACACAUGCAAGUCGAACGUGAAAAGGGAAACCUGAGUAAAGUGGCGUACGGGUGAGUAACGCGUAGGUAAUCUACCCCAGAAUCUGGAAUAACCUGCCGAAAGGCGGGCUAAUACUGGAUAGAGCGAGGGAACUCGUAAGAGAGUUUUUCGGGAAAGGGAGCCCGCAAGGGCCUUCGCUCUGGGAUGAGCCUGCGUCUCAUUAGCUAGUUGGUAAGGUAACGGCUUACCAAGGCGAUGAUGAGUAGCUGGUCUGAGAGGAUGAUCAGCCACACUGGAACUGAAACACGGUCCAGACUCCUACGGGAGGCAGCAGUGGGGAAUCUUGCGCAAUGGACGAAAGUCUGACGCAGCCACGCCGCGUGAGUGAAGAAGGCCUUCGGGUUGUAAAGCUCUGUCGGAUGGGACGAACAUCUUCAUAGUGAAUAGCUAUGAGGACUGACGGUACCAUCAAAGGAAGCACCGGCUAACUCCGUG
rnacentral:rRNA from 1 species